GACAUGACUCAUCGAAACAGGAUGCAAGUUUAUUUUUUUUUUACUUUAACAAAGGCUGGGACCAUCACACAGUCUGAUGGUUGCAAGUUUGGGCAUGGUGGGGUAAGAAGAAGACUACAGUUUCCAGUAAUGAAUAAUCUUAGAGCACUGCUAGAAGCAUUCAUUACCAUUCUCCAGCAACAUUUCAUCUGAGAACAAAGCAGAAUCUGAGCCAUGUCCAAACCGGAGAAGGCAAUUGUGUCUAUAGUGGAAAUGUUUGAAAAGUAUGCUGUAACAGCUCAGUGCUCUGAUAAUGAGCCAAUUGAGGAGUCCAGAGUAUAGUAGACCAAGAAGACAUUUGUGAAGCCUUGGACAAAAAAAUGGACCAAUGGCCAGAUGAACUUCAAAGAUUUUAGCCAAUCUGUGGCCAUUCUAGCACAGGCCUAUUGCAAAUAUGGCAAGGGCAAGCAUUAAGUUCACCACUGAAAUCCUUCAUAUACAGUACAGUAUGACCCCAGAGUCUCUGUACAAAUAGAAUUACAAUUUAUAGUUUUAUACAUUUACGUGAAUAACACCAGAUGUUGAAUAACUCCCUAAUGGUUGGAGACUUUUGAAACACCAUAUACUUUUCAAAAAACUCACUCCAUCUUUAUGGAAUGAAAAGAUAACUGUUUCAUCAGUGCAAAAUAAUCGGGGUCUGUGAAAGCUUAAAAGGAUUUGUAUUUCAUUCUCAUGUAAUAGAUUUAUUUAUCUUAUAUAUUUAUUAUUUACAUUUACAUUUACAUUUAGCGUCAGCAUUUGGCAGACGCCCUUAUCCAGAGCGACGUACAUUAUAUGUGCGUUACUGCAAAUAUGUGUGUGUGUGUGUGUGUGUGUGUGUGUGUGUGUGUGUACAGAAAUAAAAUGCUGUUUUUCAUGUUAACAUGUUACUUCUUAAAAUAAUAAAUGUUUAUGAAUGUUAAUUAUUUAUGAAUUUAGACACCUUGGCACUUAUCUCAAAUCAGCCCACUGACAUUUUUAAGAAAUGUUUGUUUUUGUUUUAUUAAAUUUCCAAAUUGACAAAUAGUCUUUAUAGGAGUGUCCUAUUUUCUACAGCAGACACACAUGUUGCCUGAUACAAUGACUGA